rnacentral:lncRNA from 1 species
UCAAGGGUCACCCCACGAGGGCACCUUUGUACACGCGUGAAGCCCGCUUGGAUGCACACCGUCUGGGUGUCUCCAGAUGUGGACAUUUUUAAGCAGUUAGAUUUUCUAUUCCUUCCAGCCCCUCAACCCCACCCCCACCCCUCCCAGCAAAUGGAUAACAGGAAACAGCCAAAGCUUCUUAACUUUUCUUUAAUCUUCCCCUCUCUGGCAAACUGAAAAAUCAAACGAUAAUUGUCUGGGUGAUCUCAUUAUUGUCAACAAAAUCCAAGCCUUGAAGUCCGAAUACACUGAAAUGCUGACACAUUAAACACAAAAGGAAACCGCUUGCAUGUUGUUCAAUAAAUAAAUAAGGCUGGUGGGAGCUCGGCGCAGGCCUGGCACACUGCACACUGAGGGGCUCUGUGGUCGGAAAUGCUGGGACUGCGAGAUGACCACGGGGACCCGGGAAGCGUGGCAUCUAGGAAAGACUAGGACCAGGAGGUCAAGGUCCCAUCCUUCCUGUUUGUAUCAGUCAGGCCUGGCAGGAAACAGAUGGACAGAUGGCACCUUCCCAAGGUGAACAUGGAGGCUUUGAGUUGAAGUGAUGGAGCUGCAAUUUGAUCUUCUGGAUUAUGUAUCACAUCUAGAAGAAGUCUGCCCCGGAGGGUGGUCUUGGACCUACAGCAAGCUUCAUGGGAGUGAAAAAUAAACUUCUGUAGUGAUUAGCCACUGAGCUUGCAGGGAUGCUUGCUACUGCAGCACAGCCUUGCUUGGACUGACUGGUACAAGCACUACCAUAUGCAAGUAUUUUUAUAUAUAUUAUUAUUUCAUUUGAUCCUCGCAUCUCUAGAGGCAGGUAUUAUUAUCCUCUCAAUAAGAGGUAGACCCAGAAGUAGAGCCAGGUUUCUUUGCCUCCUGAGCCCUGGGUCUUAGCAAUUAGGUAGAUGCCACCCCCUAAAACAGGGAAAUUUGGGAGGCAGGCAUGUAAAUGGUUAACUCAAUGCAGAAAUGCCCCUUGUCACCGUGGGGUCUUUGUUGAGGAAAUUGUAAUCCUUCAAGUGUGGCCUCCCAGAGUCUGGGAAAAAAAUGUUCCCAGCUAAAAGUAGCUACACCAGAGGGUCCCAGCCAAAGUCCAACUCUAGGUUGGCAGAAUUCUUGGAUGGCUUGGAAUUCCUGCUGGCCAAGGUUCCACUGGCAUGGAAGUGUUUACACUCACGUCAAAUUAGUUCUCCCACGCCUUCCAGAGCCUCAGCCCAUAUUUGGGAUGGAAAGGGGAAAAUGAUUCCCAGGGGAGAUUCAAAAGCAUCAGAAAAAUUCCUCAGGGGCCGAGGCUUCUCCGUGUGGCUUGGGGCUCUGAGCAGGGUCUCUCAUACCUGGACCCCGUGCCAGCAGGGCAGCCAAGCCAGGAGCACAUGAACCCCCUCACACACUAAUUCAGAAGGAAGGCAUUUCUGCAGUGACCCUUGGGAGACCCAGAACAGAUCCAUAGCCAAAUGAAGUGCAAGAAACAGGAAAGAAGAAAAGAUCUAACUUGCGUUUCUGUCUGUUGAAAGUAGGCUUUUCUUCCUCCCUUCUAGAAGAUGCUAUGUGAUUGGAGUGCCUUUAGCCGCGAGAAGCAGAAAACCCAGUAAAAGCGUCUUUGCAGAAAGGAAAGCUCCCGGAAGACUGUGUAGAGUGUACCCUUUUUGUGAGGCUCAAAAGCAGGCAAAACAAAGCAAUACGUUGUCUGGAUAUACAUUUACAUGUGAUAAAACUAUACAAACCCAUACAAGGGAAUGAGAAACACAGAAUUCAGGACCGUGCUUAUCUUAGGGGCAAAUGCAGGGAGGUGGUCAUGGGGCCAGUUCGAGAGGAGCACAUAUGGAGGAGUAAUCACUAUUGGCAAUAUUCUAGUUCUUGAGUUGAGUGAUGGGUUCAUGGGUGUUCGUUAUUUUAAUAAAUAUCCCAGUGGCAUGUCAUGAAUCAAGGCUCAUGAUUAAUCCAGUUCUGUCUACCUAAGAUCUAUUUUUAAAGGGGAACUCAAUAACAGCCAACACUUGUACACCAUUUCCUGCGUGCCAGGCACUGUUAUAAG